rnacentral:tRNA from 1 species
GGCUGGCUAGCUCAGUCGGUAGAGCAUGAGACUCUUAAUCUCAGGGCUGUGGGUUUGAGCCUUAUGCUGGGCG